GAUGAACGCUGGCGGCGUGCCUAAUACAUGCAAGUCGAGCGAACGGACGAGAAGCUUGCUUCUCUGAUGUUAGCGGCGGACGGGUGAGUAACACGUGGAUAACCUACCUAUAAGACUGGGAUAACUUCGGGAAACCGGAGCUAAUACCGGAUGAUAUUUUGAACCGCAUGGUUCAACAGUGAAAGACGGUCUUGCUGUCACUUAUAGAUGGAUCCGCGCUGCAUUAGCUAGUUGGUAAGGUAACGGCUUACCAAGGCAACGAUGCAUAGCCGACCUGAGAGGGUGAUCGGCCACACUGGAACUGAGACACGGUCCAGACUCCUACGGGAGGCAGCAGUAGGGAAUCUUCCGCAAUGGGCGAAAGCCUGACGGAGCAACGCCGCGUGAGUGAUGAAGGUCUUCGGAUCGUAAACCUCUGUUAUUAGGGAAGAACAUAUGUGUAAGUAAAUGUGCACAUCUUGACGGUACCUACUCAGAAAGCCACGGCUCAAUACGUG
rnacentral:rRNA from 1 species